rnacentral:SRP_RNA from 1 species
GUUGGGUGUGGUGGUGUGCGCCUGUAAUCCCAGCUACUCAGGAGGCUGAGGCACAAGAAUUGCUUGAACCCAGGAGGUGGAGUUUGCAGUGAGCCAAGAUCAAGCCACUGUACUCCAGCCUGGGUAACAGAGUGAAAUUGUGUCUCAA